AUUGAACGCUGGCGGCAUGCCUUACACAUGCAAGUCGAACGGCAGCGGACCUUCGGGUGCCUGCGAGUGGCGAACGGGUGAGUAAUAUAUCGGAACGUGCCGUUCCGUGGGGGAUAACGUAGCGAAAGUUACGCUAAUACCGCAUAUUCUGUGAGGAGGAAAGCAGGGGAACUUCGGGCCUUGCGCUGACAGAGCGGCCGAUGUCAAAUUAGCUAGUUGGUGGGGGAAAGGCCUACCAAGGCGGCGAUCGGUAGCGGAGCUGAGAGCAUGAUCGGCCACACUGGGACGGAGACACGGCCCAAACUCCUACGGGAGGCAGCAGUGGGGAAUCUUGCACAAUGGGCGAAAGCCUGAUGCAGCAAUGCCGCGUGAGUGAAGAAGGCCUUCGGGUUGUAAAGCUCUUUCGGCCGGGAAGAAAUCGAACAGUCUAAUACCUUGUGUGGAUGACGGUAACGGAAUAAGAAGCAACGGCUAACUACGUGCCAGCCGCCGCGGUAAGAC
rnacentral:rRNA from 1 species